rnacentral:lncRNA from 1 species
AAGAUCUCUCGGUCGCUUUUGAAAUGUCAAGAGUUUAUUCUGAGAGGUCUUUACUGGGUGAUUGAGAGCCUGAAAGCCAAGUGCUCCUGUGUUGUGGAGAGAAGGGAAGCGGCUGUUUUGAUGCUGAGCGGCUUGCAGCAUACUGAGCUGAAGGCCUUUGUGUUGUAUGAGUCUGUUUCUGGAGGGAACGGUAGUCCAGAGCUGAAGGAUCUGGCUGAGGUGAAAACAAGGCUGCAGACUGUGAGUAUGUAG